rnacentral:lncRNA from 1 species
UAAAGGUUAUAUCUUUGGUUAGCUUGCUUGCUAGCUGAACUGUGAAGUCAUUAUUAAGUAAGGUAAACUACCCUCCUUUAAGAGUAGACUAGUCCUAAAGAUAGUCAAUAUAUCUUGUCUGUAGGACUAGGCUACUUCGAAAGGAGGGUAGUAUACCUUGUCUAAUAAUGACUUCACGGUUCAGCUAGCAAGCAAGCUAACCAAAGAUAUUACCUUUAGCUACACACUCAAUGAAAUCGACUUUAAG